GGAGUAGGGAGAAGGGACCAUGUUGUGAACUGGACGCGCCCCACAGACGUGCCCUAGCAGCGCGCGCAGAGGAGCGGCUUAUUGCUUGGUCUGAGGAUCAAGAAAGCUGUGGCGUUAUAGCACUUGUCCCGAAAGUCCUUCUCCAAACUGACUCUGUUGAGAAAACGGCACCAAACUGACUCUGUUGAGAAAACGGCACCAAACUGACUCUGUUGAGAAAACGGCACCAAACUAACUCUGUUGAGAAAACGGCACCAAACUGACUCUGUUGAGAAAACGGCACCAAACUGACUCUGUUGAGAAAACGGCACCAAACUAACUCUGUUGAGAAAACGGCACCAAACUGACUCUGUUGAGAAAACGGCACCAAACUGACUCUGUUGAGAAAACGGCACCAAACUUACUCUGUUGAGAAAACGGCACCAAACUUACUCUGUUGAGAAAACGGCACCAAACUGACUCUGUUGAGAAAACGGCACUAAACUGACUCUGUUGAGAAAACGGCACUAAACUGACUCUGUUGAGAAAACGGCACCAAACUUACUCUGUUGAGAAAACGGCACUAAACUGACUCUGUUGAGAAAACGGCACCAAACUUACUCUGUUGAGAAAACGGCACCAAACUGACUCUGUUGAGAAAACGGCACCAAACUUACUCUGUUGAGAAAACGGCACCAAACUUACUCUGUUGAGAAAACGGCACCAAACUGACUCUGUUGAGAAAACGGCACUAAACUGACUCUGUUGAGAAAACGGCACCAAACUUACUCUGUUGAGAAAACGGCACCAAACUGACUCUGUUGAGAAAACGGCACCAAACUGACUCUGUUGAGAAAACGGCACUAAACUGACUCUGUUGAGAAAACAGAACAAUUUGAGAUAAUAUUGUUGUAAAACCAUAACCAUUUGAGAUCAGACACUGUUGUGAAUACAAAACACCCUUUGAAGACAGACAUUUGUGAAAACUGAACCCCCUGAAAACGGAACCCUUUAAAAACACUGUUGUGACAAGAUAAUCCUUUGAACAGACCUUUUUCCUUAUUUAUCCUGUUAGUAUUUUCUUGUGAUUUGUUUCAGUUCUGGUGAUCUAAAGAAGCAGACUAUCUGAAGCUGAAGACCAUCUCCAUCUGGACCUUAUCUGCAUUUGAAGACUGUCAAACAUCCACAUCAUUACAUUUAGUUAAUUUCCUUGCCAUUUUAUUGCUUAUUCAUAAUUUUAAUCCAACUUUCAUUUAUUAAAGACUGCAUAUUGCUUGUGGAUUGGAUUCCUUCUGUUUUUGAAUUAUAUGUACACUUUAUUGUUAUAUUAAAUAUUGUGUGUGGAUACUAA